rnacentral:misc_RNA from 1 species
GAUGAAGAACGUAGCGAAAUGCGAUAAGUAGUGUGAAUUGCAGAAUUCAGUGAAUCAUCGAAUCUUUGAACGCACAUUGCGCCCCUUGGUAUUCCAUGGGGCAUGCCUGUUCGAGCGUCAUUUGUACCUUCAAGCUUUGCUUGGUGUUGGGUGUUUGUUUCGCCUUUGCGUGUAGACUCGCCUUAAAAUAAUUGGCAGCCGGCGUAUUGAUUUCGGAGCGCAGUACAUCUCGCGCUUUGCACUCAUAACGACAGCGUCCAAAAGUACAUUUUACACUCUUGACCUCGGAUCAGGUAGGGAUACCCGCUGAACUUAAGCAUAUCAAUAAGCGGAGGA